UUUCCAUAGGUUUCCCUCAGAACUGCAAGACGCCGAUAUUGCAUUACAUUGUGGCAAAAUGGCGGCUGUCAUUCAGAAUCCACUAAAAGCGUUGGGCGACCAGUUCUAUAAGGACGCCAUCGAGCAGUGCCGCAGCUACAAUGCCCGCCUGUGCGCUGAACGCAGUGUGCGCUUGCCGUUCCUGGACUCGCAAACCGGCGUGGCCCAGAACAACUGCUACAUCUGGAUGGAACGCCAUCACCGCAGCCCAGGGGUGGCGUCCGGGCAGAUGUACACGUAUCCGGCCCGUUGCUGGAGAAAGAAGAGACGGCUCCACACCACCACUGAUCCCAGCCUGGGUAUCUUUGGUCUCCAGCUUGACAGCGGCCUCAUGUCCAAAGACACGUUGCCCACCCAGGGCACAACACUGGAAGCUCUGCUACGAGGCGAGGGUCUAGACAAGAGGAACUCUAGGAACGACGAGGAGAGUUUACUGGAGAUCCAGAGGGUUCUGGAAGCAGAUGCAGCAGAAGAUGCUUUCAACGAUGAUGACGACUUUGAGGUGGACACUCCUAAAAGAAGACACCGGGGCAAAGGAAGAGGUCGGGGUUCAGGCCGCAGGAGGGCAGAUCUAGAUGAUGAUAAGCCAUAUGUCUGUGACAACAGAUACAAACAAAGGAAUAACAACAAGUCUUCAGCCUCGGUCUAUGCGAAGCGUUACAGGAGCCGUACGGGUUUAAGUUACCACUAUACUCAUACCCACCUAGCAGAGGAGGACAGAGCUGGAGAAAGGAGCUCUGUUCCGUCCAGGUCUCCUACUGUACAGCCUACUGACCGGCACAAACGCCCAAAGGCUCCAGUCGGGACCAGGAUUCCUAAUAGCUACUGUGAGAAAUGUCAUAACGCCAAUAAGAAACUUAUGACAUCCGGGUCCCCCUGCACAACCUGCCAAUGCACAGCUGGCGGCGGAGAGGACAAGGAGGAUGGGAAUCAGGGCGGCGCAGAGGAGCUGUUUGCCACCACCUCCGAGAGCGACGCCUCCACCUUUCACGGCUUUGAGGACGACGAGAUAGAAGAGCCUACCGCAAACAGCAAUGGAUUAUCCAGCCGACACAGAUAGACAAAUAGACUUUGGUGGUUGUUUUUUUUUUUCUAAUCUGGAUUCAUCUCUACCAAGAAUCUGCUGCUUCUUCCCGCUGCCCCUUUCCUCCCCUAAGUUUUUUGUUUGCAGAAAGCACAAAGUGAUGGCUUCAGGUAAAAAAAAAAAAAAAAUGCAAGUGGUGUUUUAUCUACUGGACAUUAAUUUAUGGACUUUUUAAAAUCUAAAUAUAUCUAUUAAUUAACUUUGAAGUCAACUAAUGACUUGCAAAACUUUGAAGUUUUUCCCCUUUUUGGAGCCGAAGGAAAAUAAAUGUAGUGAACAAAAAAAGAAACACUGGAGCAAUCAUACAUUUGAACAAAUGAACCUUUUAACAUGUGGAAGCUGUUGGAAUGUCACUUCAGACCCUUUACUGGAUUCUAAUCAACCAUCCUACAGUGUGACAAUGACGUUGUUGAGCUCCAACUCUGGAUUCUACUUGUAUUCUAACAUGAAGGAACCAAUGAAUGGACUACCAAUGGAACUCUGGAGAUGAAGACGUCUAUAUAUUUUCUUUAAAUACCUGAGAAGGUUGUUCAAUGGAAGGAGCACCCAGCAGAGGAGAUAAAGACCAGUCAUCAAGAGGAUUUCACUCCUCCAAACUAACGAGCCUUUCACCCUUCCUCCUGUUUUUGGUCCUAAAUGUAACUGACAAGGAGCAGACAGACCAACAUCCGCCGCUGUCAUAGGUCAUGUGACUUCAGCCAAGCUCCCCUGAUGAUGUGAACUCACCUAUUUGGAAUAGGAGCCAUGUUCAUGGCGUCCACGGCAGAACUAUGGGAACACUAACGGGCAGGCCUUUGGAUUUUGGGGCCUGGAGAGCCCAGUAUCCCCCGCCCCCAACCAACCCCGUCCCUGCUCUGCACGCGUGUGUGUUUGUGUGUGCGGGUGUGUGUGUGUGUGUGUGCGCGCGUGCGUGCCGUAUGAUCUGAUGUGACACUAAGACGUCAUUACCCUCAUCACUGUGCCAGCCUGCCGCUCUGCACUGCAAACCAGCUCUGACAGCACACCCUCCCAACACACACGCACGCACGCACACACACACACACACACUCUGCCCCCUCAGCCAUAGAGUUGGUGCGCCGCUCCACCACUCGUACAUGCACACCUCAACUACUGAUACGGAUGCAUCUUUCUGCUUGUUGCUCUCUUGACCUCCUGGCUCUACUUGUACUAUUUGUAGGGUGUUUUUCUAGCAGUUGGGACUAGUGGGGGUGGUUGGAAGCAGACUGAUACCUCUGUCCUACUCAGGCAUCUUUCCUUCACGCUCUGCUGUUGAUUGUUCAUGCAGACCAGAAUGGUGUGAUUGUAUUGAGCUGGCAAGGAUGGACAAUAACGCCACACACGAGCCCCAUGAAGAAGCACCAACAUUACUACCAUUCCCACCAUUACUAGGAGCUUCAAACACUGCAAUCAUUUUCCUGAUGUGCUUCCAUGUGUUUGUGUGUGCAUGGACACCGUGUCUAGUGCUAUCAUUUUUAACGUUUGAUGUUGAAGGCAUCAAAAUGAAGGAUGGGCUUUUGGACAAAGUUCCUGAAUUGACUAUAUUGACAAAUUCAUAAUGAUGUCCUGCUGGACGUCUUUAGACAGAGAACCAGUUGACCGCUUCUGGUUGCAGCCGAGUAGUGCACUCCAUUUUGACUCCGUUAAUUCAACACGGGUUGAUUGUUAUGAAAUUCUGUCAAUUUUGUAGAAUCAUCUUUUAAUGGAACAUUGCAUCACUUUGUGCAGUUAACCAGUUCCACACCAAUGGAAUGCUGUUUUUGCAAGUGUGUUUUUUUUCUUGUAAUAUUACAACUAUUCUGGCUAGAUUGGGGCUUUUUUUUCCUCUUAUUGCAACAACUUUAUUCCCAUAACUGUAGACAUUUUUCUCAUAUUUUUUUUUAAUAUAAGGUGACAAUAUGACUUUAUUCUAAAUUCUAUGAUUUUUAAGUACAACUUCAAUCUUGUAAUACCAGGAUUCUUUAUUUCCUUAAACAAAACAAAAAAAUCACUUAAUUUAUAUAACUAAAGUUUUUGUAACAUGGAGAGAUUUUUUGUCAUAAUAUAAAGACUUUACCCCCAAACGUUUUUCUUAAAACCUUGCAGCUUUUUCACGCAAGUUUGUGGCAGUAUUGCACUUCAGUUUGACUUAAUUACUUCAGGACACGAUUAAUCAACGAUUCCAAUCCUCUAAACUUCUUCAUUCUUAUAAUAAAUACAUUCUUAAUUAAAUUGAGUAUUUUAAAAACAACUGUAAUCCCUUUUCCGUGAAAUAAAAAAUUUUACUUGGUGUGUAAAAACAAAUUGGCUCAAAACAGCUUUUUUUCUUGUAAUAUUACCUAAUUAAACUUUUUCUCAAAAUUUAAUAUUUUCGUUUUUAGCGAAAAUUCCUGUAACUGAGUUGUUUUCUUUCUUUUAAAUGUUACUACAGUGUUCCCUUGCUACAUCGCAGUUCACCUUUCGCAGAUUCACUGUUUCGUGGAUUUUCUUUUAAGCGCAAUUUUGCAUAUUUUUUUUUAACAGCAUAUGAACGCGCAUUGUGUUCUGCAUCCUUGUGUUCUGCAUCCUUACUACUACUACCAGUAGAGGGUGUUGUACUCAUGUUCAAGACGGUAGCCGGCUAAAUAUACUGUAGAGCAGCAACAGUCCUUGUUGGCUAAGGGAGAACCUGCCUAUUGUGGUUUGCGUCUUAAAUGGCUGUCGACCAUUGUCAAUCAACCUUCUUCGUGCCGCUUCUUGUUGUCGUCAGUAACAGCUAGCAAACUAGCUAACUGCCAGUAAACAGAAGAAGAAGAAGAAGCUAACCGACUAAAUGAAUCCUCAAGGAGGAGGAUGACGGCAGGAGCAAUAUGUUUUAACAAGGAUACAAAAACGCUACAGCCGAACGGCGCCAGGACGAGACAUGGUCAGAGUGAGCACACGUGAGUCACUUAAUUUCUUGUUUCCAACGUAGUAGAUCAUUAAAAUUCAAACAAAAUUUGAACUAUCAGCGUGUUUAGAUGAGAGAACUGUGAGGAAAAUGUUAGCCUGUCUGUGAAAAGUGUAUAACGUGUAUUGUAAGGGGUUUUACAGCCUUAAAACAUAUAAAAUAACUAAACAAAUAACGUUUGCUACUUCGCGGACUUCACUUAUUGCGGGCUGUUUUGGGAACAUAUCCCCCGCGAUAACAAAGGGAACACUAUUUUUGUUUUCAGACUGCCAUCUGACUGAAAUGGACUCAAUAGCACCUCUGCUGGUAGCAGCCAAGUAGUGCAAUUAAUAUUGCCUUAAUUGCUUCAAGUCAGAUUAAUUCCAUAGAAUCUAGGGAAUUCUUCAAAAUACAUGUAUUUUUAAAUAUGUAUUCAGAUAAGUUCCCCCGCCCAAAAAAAUACAAAUACAGUCUCUUAAAAAAAAAGGGAAAAACACUCUACAAUGACUUUAUUUCAUGUAAUAUGACUUUGCUGUCACAGAACAGAUUCAUGAUAAAUGAAGUAUUAUGCCCAUUCCUAAUCCAAAUGCCUUCAUAUGUUCGUUACAGAUAAUAGUGUCUUCUUCCUUCCAUGUUCAACCCAUCUUUCUUCACUUCCCUCAGGGACCCUCCUCACAGCCGCUUUGCUCCAACUCGGUAUCACGUCUUAGCUUAUAUCCGUUAAGUAUUCCCACUGUUUCAGUGUGCAUUCAUCCAGUAAGCAGACAGCCAUCAUGCACAACCUGCUGUACGUGUAGAGGCUUACAAUUUGUUGUCCUCAACGCAACUCCUGAAUGCAAAAGUCAUCUUUACCUCCACCAACAAUACAGCAAUAGUUCCCCUCGGUGCUCUGUGAAGGCCGGUGAUGGAGGUGUGUGCGUGUGUGUGUGCGUGUGUGCGUUAUCAGUUUGGGAAUGGAGCCAAGAGGAGAUGAAAUGAACUUGUGUGCUUUAUUUCAUCUUCCGCUGUAAAUACAUGUCAAAAUCGAGAAAAUGAAGUUCUUUGUUAAAGUAUUUUUAUUCUGGAAAAAAUAAAAAAAAAAAGUGAUAGCAUUGUGUCGUAUUUUCUAGCAUUGCAUUCAGAUUCUUAGAAGCAGACAGUGCUGCACUUUUAUUGAACUACUUUUUUAAGAAAACUGGCCUGUUGGUAAUAAACGCCUCGAUACAAUUCCCAGAAGGCACUGCACUGACUUUAGGUGUCACUUAGCUUUUUUUCGCCCUCCCGUUGGUCGUUAACUCAGUCAUUAGUGCACAUGUAGCUUGUUAAAAUCAUAUUUUAGAUAUGUUUUAUGUUCAAACUGGUGAUGAAUUGAGAAUCAGAACAGUUGCCAUGUUUGCCUAUCAAGCAAAAAACCUUUCAAACAGGAAGUACGAUGGCUUUUAAGAGACAAAAGGCAUUUGGUGAAGCGCUAUUCACAUUUCCUCUCAUUUUGACUGUAUUGCUGCUAAGCACUAAAACAAUAAAUGACAACUCUAUCCACCCUGUUUCUGUUUCUAGCUUCUGGAAGGCCUCAUUGGUGGCAUCAUAAACAUAACUCCAAUAGCACCCUCUUUCGAGACAAGACAUUCUUAUAAUGGUAACGAGAGCAAGGUUGUUAAGUGACACUUUAAAAAAAAAAAAAAAAAAAGUAAGUUAGCACGUUCCCCGUGAACGUGACAGCCAUCGGUUUCCCUGUGGGACAAAAACGAGCUCCGAACAAACCGCAUUGCUUGUUUGUUUUAAACACAAAAUGUCAUUGUGGUAUAAAAAAAAAAAUUUUAAGUCACAUUUGGGGUC